rnacentral:lncRNA from 1 species
GAGAAGAGAAGGAGAAAGAAGAAGAGAAGAAGGAGAAGGGAGGAGGAGGAAAGGAGGGAAAACGUGGGAAAAGAAAAGUCUUAAUUCUUCAUUAACCCUAAUCAACAUAAAAGUUUCCUAUAAAUAGGACCCAAUAAGAACAAUUAAAAUAAAACCCCCUUAUACAAAAUAAUUCCCAAUAAACCCAAACUACACAAAUAAAGUCCAACAAUAAUAAAAUUGCAAACAAAUCCAGAAAUAAAAGAAAAUAAAAUGCAAAUAAAGUUGGGAAGACUAAACGGCAGGGUGGUCAGCUCUGAUGUCCCCAUCAACUCCUUCCGGGUGGGAGAAGCUCGACCCC